GCGGUCCAGGGAGAUGGGCAGCUCUCCUACUGCUGGUGCGGCAGUUCUGCCCGAUGGACUUCUUCCAGCCGUCCUGGGCUGCAUUAGCUGGUGGUGGCAGGGCUUCAUCGGGCGGAGCUGCAAGUACAGAUAACAGGGAUUUUAUGUGGAGCAAUUUGACAGACUGCUUCCCAAAAGAGGUGGGAAACAAUGGAACCAUUGACAUGCACAUAAAUCAAUGGAACCUAUAGAAGGUUUUUGCCUCAAGAUUCACCCACUUGGCUGAAAAAGACCUUACGGUAAACCUAUACAUGGCACGUGGUAUUAAUUUGGAGUGUUGUGGUGUACAAACGCCUCGUGGAUUCAUUUAUUUCAUUGAAAUUUUUUGAACGGGUGUGGCAUUUGGUUUGGUUGAUUUAGCGUUUUUUGGUUGUGUUUGGCUCAAUCUGUUCGUGUGUGUUUGUGUGUGCCUACGUGCUGUCCCUUUUGGCUGUUUGAAUGUGGUUUCUUUCUCAUGUGCUAU